CGUCAUUAUCAACCAUCAAGCCUGGCUUGUCGUUGGACCCUUGGUCGUCGAGCGACCGGUCCGAAAGAUAACGGGCGGUGUCACGGCGACCCCCAGUGCAACGAGCUUUUCACGGCACGCAUCUGGAGGUCGGCGGGCCCGCUCUUCACCAUUAUUUCACGGUUGACCUCGGAUCAGGUAGGAAUACCCGCUGAACUUAA
rnacentral:misc_RNA from 1 species